CACUUCAUUUGUUCCACAGUCCCCAUGGUUAAGGCAUUGUCCAUAUUUUCGUACGAAUAACAAUCUUUUAAAACAACAGUAACAAAAUCAUCAUGAAUGUGUACAGCCAUUAACCAUGGCAAAAAGAAAUACACUUUAAUACCCUCAGUUCUCAUGCUGAUUUUAAAGAAACUGCUACACAAUCCACAAAAACAGUCAUCUGUAUGCAUUGUUACAAAACAUUUAAUGAAGUAUUAAAAGCAAGAUGCUACAUGACAAAUUCAAUUAAUACGGUAUUAGAAAAAAAACGUAGCCAGUUUGAACAAGAAAUACACUUUAAUACCCUCAGUUCUCAUGCUGAUUUUAAAGAAACUGCUAUACAAUCCACAAAACAGUCAUCUGUAUGCAUUGUUACAAAACAUUUAAUGAAAUAUUAAAAGGAAGAUGCUACAUGACAAAUUCAAUUAAUACGGUAUUAGAAAAAAAAAACGUAGCCAGUUUGAACAAGGUAAUAGUUAUGUAGAUAUGGUGUGUUACAAAAAGAAAUGUUUUAGGUGCACAAUGAUUUUCUAGAAGACAAACCUGUAAUGCUAUCUACUUUAUAUUCAAAAUAUUUGUCACAUUUAGACCAAAUAGGGAUUACAAACAAAACAAUCUUUGUUCGCGACACUAGCUGGUUAUUUAAUGUGUUAGAACUUAGUUUCGGCAAAACAAUGCCAGAAUAUACCCCAGACAAAACCAGAAAAGCUAGAAGAAUGUUGUACAACAGUUGGAAAGCAAGCCACACAUUUGCUUAUUACCAUGAUUACAGCAUAUUAAGCGUCACAAAUUUGACACAGGACAGUUCAUAGAAAGCCUCAUUACAUAAUUUAAAAUCAGCAUAUGUUUUCUAGAAGUUAAGGAAGAAAUUUCAACUGCUUUGUAGAAAAAAAAUGACGCGACGAAUAACAAGCUCGUAUUUGAAAGCUUAGUAUUCCAAUUCAGUACAUUUAAUCAAAAUAUGUUUUAUGUUAGAACUUCUAAAAAGUAUACACAAUUGUCAUUUAUAACGUACAGAAUACUUUGAUUUCACUUUUUAGGACGAAUUGAAGGAAACCAUCUGGUUUCAACAAAAAUGUCCAAAAAAGUGUCCAAAUAUGACUUCCAUUGUUGUCUUCAGAAAUAGGAUCAAACCGGGGUCAGCUUUCCGACUGCAAAAUAGAUAUAAAUAUGACAAGAUAUGCAUACAAUGCUAUACUCACAAAUACCAGGACGCUGUAUAUGAUUCCAAUAUCAAUCAUAAUAAAAAUAUGUUAUAGAUAAUGCAUAUUUAAGGUUUUUCUUGUCGUAAAACACACUGAAGGGUGUCAGGAUUGAUCAAAUGAAAGACCGACCGUAGAGAGGCAAUCCUGACACCACGAGGUGUGUUAUUUUUAGGAAUUGUGUCCUAUUUUACCAAUAUCAUUGAAGUGGGAUAUUCUUUUAGUAAACGUUUAGGUAUAAACACGCCCUACGGCUCAUUUUAAUGUGAAAUAAAACUCACUGAUGAAUCAUCUAGAUAUAAACGUUAGAAAUCACUGUCCAGUUACUAUAUAAAUGUUACAGUAAUUGCAUGAAGUAAGAAGCAAAUGGAUUUUAGGAUGAUGAAAAAUAUACAAGUCACUUUGUAAGUAAUUCAUCAUAUAAGCCACAUAAAGGGGGUGCUAUAUUUAAUUUUUUUCUCUUGUUUCACGACAUUUUUA